UUACAGAACAGUUUCCCAAGCAGCAGCCUGCCUGAUCCACCCUUAAUUCAGCUGUGCGUCUGACAACAUGUUCUACAGGAAAGAUAACCUUGUACAUCAGGUGUUUCCUGUUUCCAGUACCAAAAGUGUCUUCCUUUGGCUUUGGUAUCAAGGUAAUGCUGGCCUCAUAAGUUGUCUCCCUUUAUCCAUGAGGGACAUCUUCCAAGGCCCCCAGUGGAUGUCUGAAACCGCAGCAUACUUUUGUCCAUAAAGCAAAAUCCGAAGAUUAGUGUUAAGAAACAGGAU
rnacentral:lncRNA from 1 species